rnacentral:rRNA from 1 species
UACAGAGGUGUCAAGCGUUGUUCGGAAUCACUGGGCGUAAAGGGCGCGUAGGCUGCACGGUAAGUCAGAGGUGAAAUCCCGGAGCUCAACUUCGGAAUUGCCUCCGAUACUCCCGUGCUUGAGGACUGGAGAGGAGUCUGGAAUUCACAGUGGAGCAGUGAAAUGCGUAGAUAUUGUGAGGAACACUAGUGGCGAAGGCGAGACUCUGGACAGUUCCUGACGCUGAGGCACGAAGGCCAGGGGAGCAAACGGG